rnacentral:rRNA from 1 species
ACACCGGCAGCCCGAGUGGUGGCCACUAUUAUUGGGCCUAAAGCGUCCGUAGCCGGUCCGGUAAGUCCCUGUGGAAAUCCUCAGGCUCAACCUGAGGAAAUGCGGGGAUACUGCCGGACUCGGGGCCGGGAGACGCGGAGGGUACUCCAGGGGUAGCGGUGAAAUGCUGUAAUCCCUGGGGGACAACCAGUGGCGAAGGCGCUCCGCGAGAACGGGCCCGACGGUGAGGGACGAAAGCCAGGGGAGCGAACGGGAUUAGAAACCCUAGUAGUCC